rnacentral:piRNA from 1 species
UGACAAUGAGAAGCACACAUUUGGCAUUUGC